rnacentral:rRNA from 1 species
UACAGAGGUGGCAAACGUUGUUCGGAAUUACUGGGCGUAAAGGGUGCGUAGGCGGGUCUUUAAGUCAGGGGUGAAAUCCGGGAGCUCAACUCCAGAACUGCCUUUGAUACUGAAGAUCUUGAGUUCGGGAGAGGUGAGUGGAACUGCGAGUGUAGAGGUGAAAUUCGUAGAUAUUCGCAAGAACACCAGUGGCGAAGGCGGCUCACUGGCCCGAUACUGACGCUGAGGCACGAAAGCGUGGGGAACAAACAGG